ensembl:lncRNA
AUUUGACACUUCUCUUAAAGCAACGCUGUGUACUUCACCCUUGUCAAUACUAGAUGUGUCUUGUAUUAUGAAUGGCAAUAAUAUAAAUGAUUGAUUAAGGUUAUUCCAAGAAUUUAAUAUAGGCAUCACAUGUGAACUCUUAUGGUAUGGCAUCAGCAAGAAAAGCAGUUUCAAAAGUGGACUCAGAUCUCAUGUCCCAAAAUGCAUGAUUUACGAAACGUACUUUGUUGGUUUGUUUUGGUGUUCUAGAGGCUGAGAAUCUUGAAGAAAAUGUCUGACUACUUGAAAUCAUUCCUUGUUCACUUCGUUAUCCAUAGUGUUGUUGCAAGUUGGAUCUGACGUGCUCCUUGAGCAGCUGUAGUCCCUGGUGGCGUGUUGCAGUAAUUUCUUUAUGUGUUCAGGAGGUGUUCCAGUGAAACUGAACCUCUGCAUCAUGCUCAAGAGGUAAAGCACAGGGACCUGGCUGUGCUAGGGGACAGUAUUGAGAGGCUGGCUCACAGGCCAGUGAGUGGGUGGGGAGCUGAGUGACCGCUAUUCAGGUUUCAUGAACUAAAGCUUGCUUGUGAGUGAGAGCUGUGUGAUCACUGAAUUAAAUCCCUUGGUGUCUGGAGUCUCCUGGCAAGAGCUCAGUAGGUCCUGGGCUGUGCAGCCUGGCUUGAGAGGGAGGAGGAAUGUUGGGGGGUUAUGAUGAGACUUGUAAGCAUCGCAGCCCUAUCCAUGGACAAUCUCACUUCACUUUGUGUAUUGUCGUUGUCCUUUCCAACAGCUGCAUCUUUCAAAACUGGAAGAUCAGUAUUUUUCUCUUCAUUUUGAGUUUUGAUAUUAUUUUUUUUCAUUUAAGGAGAAAUAAAAUCAAAAUAAGUGAUUAUCUGGCAUUAGUAUGCUUCCACUAACUGCUGCUGUCCACGUUUCUAAGAACUGUAAUGCAAAUCCCCUGCUAGCAAGAAGAAUUCGUUGUUCCCCACUGUUUGUUCUUUGAUCCGUAUUAGGGCUGAUGUGUGAAACAAAGGAAGGAGGAAUGUUUGAUUUCUCUUAAACUUGGGCGACCCUACAAAAGAGACAGUAGAAACAAGGUCUUUGCUAAUAAACUGAGCAGAAGUGAUGUAAAUACUUCUGAACAUCAGAUUCUAGAUAGUGAUCAAGCAAACUGAACACAGUGGCUGUUUGUUCUUUGAUGUUUGAGGUGGGAAAAGCCAACGUUUGACAUCACGUUGAAAAAAUACUGCCCUGUUUCUUGUCCCUGAUAGCAGGUGGUGCAGGAACUCGACCUUCAAACCGUUUUGUCACCUUCUGUUCUUCCCAUAAACCAGUUUUUUGUGGCGUUCUGCCUUGAUGUGAUUAAACUACAGCUUCAUUCACUUAUUUUGUUUCCCGUGAAACAGAGCAGCACAAGGAUGGCAGAAAACAGCUGUGUGAGGCUGUAGCGUAGAACUGAUCGUAUCACAGGAUGUCUCAUCUUCCUGAACACGGGUGAAGAUCUGAAUCUCAAGUGUCAUUCAGCACCCACCCUCACCCCGCUUCCAGAAACUUAUAGCAGGUCUAUUUUCUCUAGUACUUCCGUCUCCCAGCAUAUGGCACACAUUUCUUGCUCAGCUCUCCUCCAUCCCCAGCAUUUCUGGCUGCUGUGAGGAUGCCGGGUCUCAGCAGAGUGCGUUGGCUUUGCAGCAGCUGCAAUCCAGUUUUCUGCUCUUGCUCUCUGCUGUACUGAGGGAGAGUGGCAAAGGUGAUGGUCUGGGGACUGCUACUUAGACACCAAGCAGAGGCCAAUAACAAAGAUGCAUUUAUAGUUAUUUUUAUGCAGUGCUGUGGCCGAUACAAAUUUCUGAAGUCUGUACAGUGCUUUUCACCCAGGGUAAUUGAUGUACAGGCUCUGUCAGACCUUUCAAAUCAGCAGUGCCUCGGGCUUGGUGGUGCUGUCUCUUCCCUUUACCCCUAGCUUUUCUCAGUCUCAUGCAGUUCAAUACUUGCAUCUCCCUCAUUUCUGCUGUGCCGUUUGGCUCCAGUUGUGCUAAAGCCCAGAGGCCAAUCCAUUAUGAAAAUCAGCUAGUAGCAGCAGCAGGCACCAUUAGCUAAAGAGCAGCUUUCUGCCACAGGGAAACAUCCCUAUGUCACACAGUCCUGGAAGGGAGUGGUCAUGCAGCUUCCUCUGAGCCUCUGUUGGCCAUCAGGGAAGGAGAUGAUACAAGAUGUGUGCCCUCUUCAUUGCACCUGUCCUGUUGUUUAGGAGAGAGAUCGCUCCCUCUGCAGGUAGGCAGUGUUGCUUUUGCAACGUGGAAGUCAAUUUUCUGGUAGUCAAUCAGAUUUUGAUUGAGUGCUUUUCAGGUCAUGAGAUGUAAUUCUAAUAGCAGCCAAUUAUCUGUUUUAAAAGAUGCCUCUUAAAAAGGACCUCUUCUCAAAAGGCUUUGAAGAUCUCUAAGCUCCUAACAGGCUGCAUUCUUUUAGUAAAAUGAAAGCAGAAUUCCCUAUUGCCUCCCACCCAGAGGAGAUGAAGGGGAGAUGCCCAUGAAGAUGAACUCUGCCUCCUCUUUGGGAGCAUGGUGAAGGACUGCACAGAGCUGGCACUGCUGGGGCACCCCCUGCACUGGACACAGUUGUGAAUUGAGGAUGAGUAUCACUGAUAAAAUGGAGGUCAACAACUGAACGGCAUCUCGUGGAAAAGAUUCGGAGAGACGGAGCCCAAAGCAAGACCUGUGGAUGUGAAGAAAUGGGCUCUGAAAGCGCCUGUCCCGCACGUCCCUGCUGUUUGAGACACGGUGAAGCCUGUGCUGGUGGCAGUCACAAGAAGAGCUGUCUGUGCUCAGGUGGCUUCCAGGGCUGUCUGUGCUCAGGGAAAGCUGCCCGCCUGCACAGCGGUACCCACCUCUGAAUAGUUUGCUAUUCUGGGCCCUGUGCAAUUUGGAGACUGACACCUUAACUGUUGGAGCACCAACCACUUCACAGAGCUCUCCCAGGCACUGCAGUCCCUGCUUCCUGCAUGGAAAGCAUCACCGAUACCAAGCAAGUGGAGAGGGCGGCCUUUCAUAGGAUCAUAGCCUUCAGGACUCUGGGGUGCCACAACUCCUGUUUGAAACAUAUAAUUGCUGUGGCAUUCAGUGCAACUGACGACAGGGAAGCUCGAACCUGGCAACUGCUACCUUAAAAAGUAAUAGAAGAAGGAAGCAAAAACCCCUGGGGAAGCUGUGCAUACAUAGCAAAGGAGGAGCAAUGGGCUUGCAUUGGUAAACUGCUCCAUAGGGCACCCAUUCAGUGCUAUAAAGAAGGUAUCCAGGCUGUGUGUUUCCCAGCUCCUGCAGCGGUAGGAUGGACCAUGAGUGUGCAUAGGAAGGUGCGUGAAGGCAGGCUAUGCUUUCCUGGGCCAGUUCUCUCCCUCUGAGGCUGCUCCGUGCAGAGCCAGCAGUGUGUGCAGCACUGACCAACGUGGUAUUUGAGAGCUUGAGAUCUCACCGUCUACUUUCUCUUUUCAAUUGCCCUCCCACUGUUGUUCUACAGCAUGCGGUGCCUUCAGCCAUGGUUCAGCUGCCAAAGAAGGUGGGGGAGUGCUGUGCUCCCCAGCUCCAUGCGGACCGGGAGAGAGGCAGAGAAACAGAGGAGGCAGGUGCUAUUCUGCAGGUAAUGAAAGCGAUCAGCUGGCUGGCCAUGCAGCACAGCCCUCCUGCCCUCCCCAGUCCUGCUCCCUGCCUUGCCAGGAGCGCACUUGGGUAGAAAGGUCUGAAAAAUCAGGACAGCUUCUAUUCUAUGGGAACAAAAGGUUUCCUUUGUUGUAAUUCCUCUGUUGGGCUCUGCACGAGGCCCUCGCAUGGGGCCCUGCAGCACGUGCCCUGCAUCAUGGGGACAAAAGCAGAUUACUGCAGGGAUGCCUGAAAAGGAGCCAUGACUUGUUCCCUUGUUGCUACAAUCUUGUUUACAGGCUGAGCUUCGCAGGGAGCAAUUCACACAGGUUUCUUUUGCAUUAUAAUAGUAAAGAUUUUUCUUGGUGGGAGAAAAAAAGAGGAGAGCGGGUGAGGUGAGGAUUUAUCACAGAGCCUUGCCUGAAAUGAUUUAGGCUGUUAAGACCAUUUAUGCUGAAGGAAGUGAUCAGUUUCUGCUUCCCAAACGUCGUCUCCCAGUGCCGUGGGCCUGAUUCAGCAGGGCAGCUCCAUGUGAAGAGAAACGAAGUUGAUGAAGUAUUAGGAGGAGAUGACGGCAGCUAAAGGGGAGUUCAGUGGUUGUCCUUCACUUUUGUCUUCUGUCUUUUCAAGCUUAAGGCAGCAACUUCCAAAAUUCUUCGUGAGCCAAUCAGAGCACUGAUGGAGGGAACACCUUCAGCCACUGCACCUUAACAGCCACCUCGAGUGGCCCUGUGCUGGGUUUUUAAUCAUAUGAUGGCUUUUAAUUGAUGCUUUCUGUAAUAAACGAGGGGCUGCUGUGUUUUCACUGGGUUAUUCACUUGCUUCUGUAGUAGCUUUCAGUUGCAUGAUGCACAAACGGAGUGCAGCCUUCAGAAGUGACCUGUGGGACUUGAGGGCUGAUCCACUGCUACUGAAACGGUAGGACCAAAUUCUGCUGCCUGCUGGAUGCUGGGCCUCAAAGCAGGGAUGCAGAGAGGUGUAGAAAGCAGCAGUGCUCCCUGCUGAGCUCUGUGCAUGGGGCUGCUGCUCAUGGCUGGUGGGACAAAGCACUGCAGUGCAGACUGUGCUGCUGAACGCCAACAUAGGCUGAGCACUGGGGGGGCUGCAGCUCCUUUGAGGGCAGGUAGAGGACUUCCAUUUUAUUUUACUUUCCUUUCCCCUUUCCCCUCCUUUCCUUUUUCCUUUCCGUUUUCCUUUCCCCUCCUUUCCUUUUUCCUUUCCCCUCCUUUCUUUUCCCCUUUCCCCUCCUGUCCUUUUUCCUUUCCCCUUUCCCCUCCUGUCCUUUUUCCUUUCCUUUUUCCUUUCCCUUUCCCCUACUGUCCUUUUUCCUUUCCAUUCCCCUUUCCCUUUCCCCUCCUGUCCUUUUUCCUUUUUCCUUUUCUUUUCCCUUUUCUUUUCCCUUUCCUUUUUCCCUUCCCCUUUCCCCUCCUGUCCUUUUCCUUUUUCCCUUCCCCUUUCCCCUCCUGUCCUUUUCCUUUUUCCUUUUCCCUUUCCUUUUUCCCUUCCCCUUUCCCCUUUCCACUCCUGUCCUUUUCCUUUUUCCCUUUCCUUUUUCCCUUUCCCUUUCCCCUCCUGUCCUUUUCCUUUUUCCCUUUCCUUUUUCCUUUUCUUUUUCCUUUCUUUUCCCCUUUCCCCCCCUGUCCUUUUUCCUUUUUCCUUUUCCCUUUCCUU